rnacentral:rRNA from 1 species
AGGAUGAACGCUGGCGGCGUGCCUAAUACAUGCAAGUCGAGCGGUAAGGCCACUUCGGUGGUACACGAGCGGCGGACGGGUGAGUAACACGUAGGAACGUACCCCAAACUGAGGGAUAAGCACCAGAAAUGGUGUCUAAUACCGCAUGUGCUCUUCGGAGUAAAGCUUCGGCGGUUUGGGAACGGCCUGCGCAUGAUUAGCUUGUUGGUGAGGUAAAAGCUCACCAAGGCGACGAUCAUUAGCUGGUCUGAGAGGAUGACCAGCCACACUGGGACUGAGAUACGGCCCAGACUCCUACGGGAGGCAGCAGUAGGGAAUUUUCCACAAUGGACGAAAGUCUGAUGGAGCAACGCCGCGUGCAGGAUGAAGGCUUUCGGGUCGUAAACUGCUUUUAUAUGUGACGAUUAUGACGGUAGCAUAUGAAUAAGGAUCGGCUAACUCCGUGCCAGCAGCCGC